AGUAAUACAUCGGAACGUGUCUUCUAGUGGGGGAUAACUGCCCGAAAGGGCAGCUAAUACCGCAUGAGACCUGAGGGUGAAAGCGGGGGGAGUCGCAAGACCUCGCGCUGGAAGAGCGGCCGAUGUCCGAUUAGCUAGUUGGUGAGGUAAAGGCUCACCAAGGCGACGAUCGGUAGCUGGUCUGAGAGGACGACCAGCCACACUGGGACUGAGACACGGCCCAG
rnacentral:rRNA from 1 species